AUUAGGUGGUCGGCGGAAUUGCUGAGUGUCAAAUUUACUUUGUUGAGUCUGUAAUUCUGUAGCCACUCCUGAGGUAUUUCAAUUCGUUGCAGAGUGAGCGCUUUUCUGGUUGUUACUUCUCUGACAUGAACAUGGUCAUUUUGGCGCCAACUGGAAGCGGCAAAACAGUGUUAUUUGAGCUAUGUAUCUUAAAGCUCCUUUCCUGGUUCCUUUCUCAGGAUGGAAGGUUCCUUCAUAUGAAGGGUACACUGAAAACAGUCUCGACGUUUUUUGUGCGCACUGACAAGACACUAGCCUUUUUUUAGAUCAAUUGAUGGUCGAUUAGGUUGAAUUUGUU